CCUCCUUUCAGGGAGUAAUCUUAUUUUUUGAAAUAAGAUAUGGUCGAAGAGGAUUAAAUAAUAAAGGUUCUGCAUAUAUUAUACUUUUUUAGAAGGGGCUUAUAGCUAUUAUACUUUUUUAGAAGGGGCUUAUAGCUCAGCUGGUUAGAGCGCAUCUCUGAUAAGGAUGAGGUCCGUGGUUCGAGUCCACGUAGGCCCACCAAAAUUAUGGGGCUGUAGCUCAGUUGGGAGAGCGCCACACUUGCACUGUGGAAGUCGCAGGUUCGAUCCCUGUCAGCUCCACAAAAUUUAAAUUUUAGAUAUUUGACAAUUUGGAAAUAACGCGGGUUAACAGAGAUUAAAUCUCUGUUACUAACAAUGUAACAGAGAUUUAAUCUCUGUUACUGACAAUUGUAUUGAUUAAGCUAUUAUAGUUUAAUCAAUGCUGAAUCAUUAAAACACUCAAGUUAUAUAAACUUGAUAAAGCUACUAANAGCAUACGGAGGAUGCCUGGGUAA
rnacentral:tRNA from 1 species